UCCGGCAGACAGGCAACCACAGCAGUACGGCCCUGCUUUGUUUGCUGUGUGUCGGAGU
rnacentral:pre_miRNA from 1 species